UCCGGAUCGAAUUCCAGAGCUUUGUCCAAGUAAGCCAACGCCUGUGAAUGUUUACCCUGUUCCAAAAGCACGACGCCCAGCUGAAAAGUGAAAAGGAACAAGGUACUCCUUUCAAGAAUACGUUGGCGAUUAUCUGGUAUACAAUAUAAUAUGGUAUGUACCUGGUAAACACGGGUAGCUUGGAGCCCAUGAUUUUCAGCCGGAACGCCAAUAGCGCACACGUGGACAGGAACAAGAACGCCAUCCGCUUGACCGCGUCCGACGGUAUGGCCUGCAGCCCACCGAACGAGCCGGAAGUCGCGUUUCCGGUGCCGUUUUUCGGCGAACCACCUCCUCCUCCGCCACCGGUGGCCGACUGUCCGCUGUUCACGGCCAUGGACAGCCUGAACGAGUUAAUCAAGUCCUUCGGCCUGAUCUGAAACAGUUAAAAUUGAACCUUAUAGCAUAUCGUGUACCGAGUUCUGACCCAUUGCACGAGUCUCCUGAGACAUUUAUACAUUUGAUUUUUAGCAACAUAAACAUUAAUCGGGUAGGUAAUUUUGACAUAUAAUAACCAUGGACAUUCGGGGUAGUAAUAUCAACUAAAUAUGUUACAUAAAAUAAUUAAAGAUUAUUAACUAUUACCUCAUAAA